AUCAUGGCACAUGUUGAAAGUUGGAAAAAGCUUACAUUUUUAAACAAAUGUCUUUUCGUCGUAACAAUUGUUGCAACAUUUUCUCAUAUUCUCGGAUUUGCCACACCUUUCUGGCUGACUAUCAGUGUACCUGAAUAUUAUGCUGCCAAGGUUUACUAUAAACCAAGCAAAUUGCAAAUUGAUUUGCUUGAAGCAAAUCAUUACCUGGGGCUCUGGCAAUGGUGCUUCGGAGGUAAUGGUUGUAUUGAUUUAGGAUUAAUUGCUAAAUUCGGAUCCGAGAAAAAAUACCAGUAUCAAUGGGAGAAAGAUUCAUAUAAAAAAGUAAAGAAGAUUUUUGCUUACUGGAUAGCAACACGGGUAUUUGCAGCUGUAGGGUUUAUUAGUGGUGCUUUGGUAACAAUUAUGCUGCUCUGGUUUAUAUGUAGAGAAACAGGAACCAGUCUAUGUCAAGGUUUCACUGUAAUCGGAUGCUUUGUGACUGGACACUAGAAGAACAAAACCGAAGAAAACAUUUUAUUCAAACUAAUAAACUAAUCCUUGUAAAUCAGAAAAGAUAUAUAUGAGGAGGAUUUCUUAUGAUAUCCGUGGCUGUGUUUGGUUUUGGAAUUUACAAUGAUUCAGACAUGUUCCAGAUAAACCGCUUCAAUAUCACUCAUCGUCUUAGCUUUUCUUUUGGGAUGAUGUGUAUUGCAGCCAUAUUGUACACAGUUAUUGGAACCGUUCUUACAUUUAUGUUAUGUACUGGAGGUUACGAACGUGGAGGAAGACACAGAAGAGCAGCAACGAAUGAAGAUGCUUAAAGACUUGCUUGGUUUUUUUUAUGGUAUCUUGAUAUGAGAAUUGAAGUUGAAAUCAUCCCUUCGUAAAUUUUACGGACGCCAUUACGAGUUGGUUGACCGUUAGGGAAUAACCGUUUCACAGAUGAUAUCGGAAAUGUUCCUUAUGUCGUAACUAAAAUACCCUUCCCUUUUCACGAAUGUGACCUACCGAAUUAGACUAUUUACCGGAUUUGUAAUAACAUAAGCAACGCGACGGGUGCCACAUGUGGAGCAGGAUCUGCUUACCCUUCUGGAGCACCUGAGAUCACCCCUAGUUUUUGGUGGGGUUCGUGUUGCUUAGUCUUUAGUUUUCUAUGUUAUGUCAUCUGUACUAUUAUUUGUCUGUUUGUCUUUUUAUUUUUGGCCAUAGCGGUGUCAGUUUGUUUUCGAUCUAUGAGUUUGACUGUCCCUCUGGUAUCUUUCGUCCCUCUUUUUGAAGAUUACCAUAGGAAAAUUCUAAUAACAGAAGAUAUGAAUGAACAGGUCAUGCUUAGUUCUAAGGCAUUUUGCAGAUUGUGAAACGUAUCUCAUUUUAGAGUAGAAAGAACCCAUUUCAAUGUUACAAGACUUCAUUUCUUUAAAACCUAUAUCGAUUUUUUAAUGAGUUUUGCUUAAAUAAAUUAAGAUAUUGUA